CCUACGGGUGGCAGCAGUGAGGAAUAUUGGUCAAUGGACGCAACGCUGAACCAGCCAAGUCGCGUGCAGGAUGAAGGAUCUAUGGUUUGUAAACUUCUUUUAUAGGGGAAUAAAGGUAUCCACGUGUGGAUUUUUGCAUGUACCCUAUGAAUAAGCACCGGCUAACUCCGUGCCAGCAGCCGCGGUAAUACGGAGGAUGCGAGCGUUAUCCGGAUUUAUUGGGUUUAAAGGGAGCGUAGGCUGUUCUUUAAGUGUGCGGUGAAAGUCUGUGGCUCAACCAUAGCAUUGCAGUGGAAACUGGAGGGCUUGAGUGUGUUUGAGGUAGGCGGAAUGCGUGGUGUAGCGGUGAAAUGCAUAGAUAUCACGCAGAACUCCGAUUGCGAAGGCAGCUUACUAAGGCGUAACUGACACUGAGGCACGAAAGCGUGGGGAUCAAACAGGAUUAGAUACCCUUGUAGUC
rnacentral:rRNA from 1 species